rnacentral:rRNA from 1 species
UACGAAGGGGGCUAGCGUUGUUCGGAAUUACUGGGCGUAAAGGGCGCGUAGGCGGCCUGCUAAGUCGAACGUGAAAUCCCCGAGCUCAACUCGGGAACUGCGUCCAAUACUGGCAGGCUUGAAUCCGGGAGAGGGAUGCGGAAUUCCAGGUGUAGCGGUGAAAUGCGUAGAUAUCUGGAGGAACACCGGUGGCGAAGGCGGCAUCCUGGACCGGCAUUGACGCUGAGGCGCGAAAGCCAGGGGAGCAAACGGG